AAACCUUUACACUGCACGCAAGUGACUAAGGGGACCCCGAGUGCGAGGGCAUACAGUCCUCUGCUUUUCACCAUCCGUAAGGGGGGUAGGAAUAAGAGCUGGGCAASACCGGUGCCAGCCGCCGCGGCUAAUACCGGCAGCUCGAGUGAUGGCCGAUCUUAUUGGGCCUAAAGCGUCCCGUAGCCGGCCACACAAGUCCAUCGGGGCAAAUCCGCCAGCCUAACUGGCGGGCGUCCGGUGGAAACUGUGUGGCUCGGGAUCGGAAGACCCAACGGGUACGUCUUGGGUAGGAGUGAAAUCCCGUAAUCCUGGACGGACCACCGAUAGCGAAAGCACGUUGGGAAAACGAAUCCGACGGUGAGGACGAAAGCCAGGUCUCGAACCGGAUCAGAUACCCGGGUAGUCCUGGCCGUAAACGAUGUCUGCUAGUGUGGCUCCACUACGAGUGGGUGCUGUGCCGUAGGAAGCCGCUAAGCAGACCGCCUGGGAAGUACGUCCACAAGGAUGAAACUUAAAGGAAUUGGCGGGGGAGCACUACAACCGGAGGAGCUGCGGUUUAAUUGACUCAACGCCGGACAUCUCACCAGCAUCGACAACAGUAAUGACGGUCAGGUUGAUGACCUUGCCAGAGCCGUUGAGAGGAGGUGCAUGGCCGCCGUCAGCUCGUACGCGUGAGGCGUCCUGUUAAGUCAGGCAACGAGCGAGACCCGCACUCCUAAUUGCCAGCGACCGGCUUCGGCCGGGUGGGUACAUUAGGAGGACUGCCGUGGCUAACACGGAGGAAGGAACGGGCAACGGUAGGUCAGUAUGCCCCGAAUGUGCUGGGCCACACGCGGGCUACAAUGGCCGAGACAAUGGGUUCCCACCUCGAAAGAGAGCGGUAAUCUCCUAAACUCGGUCGUAGUUCGGAUUGAGGGUUGAAACUCACCCUCAUGAAGCUGGAUUCGGUAGUAAUCGCGUGUCAGCAGCGCGCGGUGAA
rnacentral:rRNA from 1 species